AUGCAAGUCGAACGGGAUCAAUGUUUUCGGAUGUUGAUCUAGUGGCGGACGGGUGAGUAACGCGUGAACAACCAACCUUCAAGAGGGGGAUAACAUCGAGAAAUCGAUGCUAAUACCGCAUAAGACCACAACUUCACAUGGAGAAGGGGUCAAAGAUUUAUCGCUUGAAGACGGGUUCGCGUCCCAUUAGGUAGUAGGUGAGGUAAUGGCUCACCUAGCCAUCGAUGGGUAGCCGAGCUGAGAGGCUGAACGGCCACACUGGGACUGAGACACGGCCCAGACUCCUACGGGAGGCAGCAGUGGGGAAUAUUGGGCAAUGGGGGAAACCCUGACCCCACAACGCCCCGUGAAAGAUGAAAGGUUUCGGAUUGUAAACUUCUGUCCUCAGGGGCCAAACAAAUGACCGUCCCUGAGGAGGAAGGCCCCGGUUACUACCUGCCACCAGCCC
rnacentral:rRNA from 1 species